CCCUAGCCCAGAUAGAAGUGAAAAUCCUUUUCUUUUUUUCUUUAUAAAAAGAAAAGAUUGUAACGGAUAGCUGGAUUAGCU
rnacentral:sRNA from 1 species